rnacentral:tRNA from 1 species
GGGGGAAUAGCUCAGUGGUAGAGCGCUGGAUUUCAGUCCCAGCGGUCGGGGGUUCGAUCCCCUCUUCCCUCA